AAAAUGCGAUGGGCAAGACAGAAAUGGAACACAAACUAAAUCUUCUUAUAAUGGAAUACGAGUCAGCAAUAAAGGGGAGUAGUCAUGACUGUGAAAAUACGGAGCUCAGGAAAAGAUGCCGGACACAAGAGACCAUAUGUUACUGACCUAUUUACGCGAAAUACCCAGAAAAGGCAAAGCUGCAGAGACAAGGCUUAUUUUGGACAGGCCUGCCCACCUCUGGUGGACUCACCGGGCCUCAUGAUUCCGACUCAUGAUCUUAUCCCCGCAUCGCACCCUUUGUCCCCAAACCCUCACAUAUUUGUUCUGUCCUGACUGGGCUGUGCAUCCCUGCGGGAGCAGAACAUCCCUGCGGGGGUGUCUGUCUUACUCACCACCGUGUCUGGGGGCCUACACAGGAAGCUGGCCUCUUAACACUUGUCUAAGGAGGGAAAGAAGCAAGUGAUUGUGUCGUCGCCCCCCCCCUCACCUUGGGGUUUCCAGCUGCUCCUUUUACACAUUCAUCACAAAUCCAACAACUCUCCUCCCCAUGGCUGGGUGCUUGGGACUAUGUUCCUCCCUCGGGAGAGCAUUAAACUUUGUUCUCUGUGUUGCUGGCUU